rnacentral:rRNA from 1 species
GAUGAACGCUGGCGGCGUGCCUAAUACAUGCAAGUCGAGCGAACGGACGAGAAGCUUGCUUCUCUGAUGUUAGCGGCGGACGGGUGAGUAACACGUGGAUAACCUACCUAUAAGACUGGGAUAACUUCGGGAAACCGGAGCUAAUACCGGAUAAUAUUUUGAACCGCAUGGUUCAAAAGUGAAAGACGGUCUUGCUGUCACUUAUAGAUGGAUCCGCGCUGCAUUAGCUAGUUGGUAAGGUAACGGCUUACCAAGGCAACGAUGCAUAGCCGACCUGGGAGGGGGAUCGGCCAACCUGGAACUGAGACACGGUCCAGACUCCUAGGGGAGGCAGCAGUAGGGAAUCUUCCGCAAUGGGCGAAAGCCUGACGGAGCAACGCCGCGUGAGUGAUGAAGGUCUUCGGAUCGUAAAACUCUGUUAUUAGGGAAGAACAUAUGUGUAAGUAACUGUGCACAUCUUGACGGUACCUAAUCAGAAAGCCACGGCUAACUACGU